rnacentral:rRNA from 1 species
CGUACACUCCUACGGGAGGCAGCAGUGAGGAAUAUUGGACAAUGGGUGGAAGCCUGAUCCAGCCAUCCCGCGUGCAGGAAGACGGCCCUAUGGGUUGUAAACUGCUUUUAUCUGGGGAUAAACCUACUUACGUGUAAGUAGCUGAAGGUACCAGAAGAAUAAGCACCGGCUAACUCCGUGCCAGCAGCCGCGGUAAUACGGAGGGUGCAAGCGUUAUCCGGAUUUAUUGGGUUUAAAGGGUCCGUAGGCGGACUGAUAAGUCAGUGGUGAAAUCCGACAGCUUAACUGUCGAACUGCCAUUGAUACUGUUAGUCUUGAGUAAGGUUGAAGUGGCUGGAAUAAGUAGUGUAGCGGUGAAAUGCAUAGAUAUUACUUAGAACACCAAUUGCGAAGGCAGGUCACUAAGUCUUAACUGACGCUGAUGGACGAAAGCGUGGGGAGCGAACAGGAUUAGAAACCCUUGUAGUCCCAU